rfam:Trypanosoma brucei brucei strain 927/4 GTTat10.1 chromosome 11 chr11_scaffold01 genomic scaffold, whole genome shotgun sequence.
UCCGGUAUAGUAUAACGGUUAGAACAUCUGGCUUUCACCCAGAAGAUCCGGGUUCGAUUCCCGGUACCGGAA